ACAAACAGCCGUUUCUCCUCUCC
rnacentral:siRNA from 1 species